ensembl:lncRNA novel transcript
GUUUUUGAGUUUCAGUGGAAGACUCUGACGUUUCAAAUACCAAGGCUCUUUACGUUGUUGGGACCCAAUUUGUUCUCCUCUACGGUCACUAAAAAUAUAAUGGCUCUACAAUUAACUACAAGGAAGUAUGUUGCAAGGUAGUCCAAGUGCACACACUGCAAGGCAGAGAUACAAACAUCACAUCCAGCAAGCAAAUAAGAGUGUAUCUGUGCCUGAAACAAGGAUACUAAGGUCAUCCACAACAGUGGUGUCUAAUGGGGUAAGCUAAUAUGAAAGAGUGAAGCAGCAUCAACAGUGAGUAAAACAGAGUGACUGCAACAUGUUCUUCAUUUUUGUCACUGCUUUUUAAUACAUUACUUCAGAUUUCAAUGUAAAGUUUUGAAUAAAAGGAAUCAUUAUAUACAUGUUUUAUUUGUUUUUGAAACAGAUGUUCUCUCUUUUUGAAGAAUAAAUCACAUUUUAUUUCCCUCCAGCUUUAUUGAAAUAUAAUUGACAAACAAAAUUAAAUAAAUCUAAAGUGUGUAAUAUAA